UAGCAGGGCGGACGCGAGGGAUCCUCCAGCAGGAAGUCGACGCGUGAGCCCUUGCCGUUGAUGGUGCGGCCAUACUUCACCUCGCGGCGAAUGCUUGCGUAACCGGUCAAUUCCGGAAUUGCACCGGCUGNNNNNNNNNGAUCGGGUUCGGAUGCAUGGUGUUGACGCCGGUCAGCUCGAGGCCGCCGCCGAAGUCGGCC
rnacentral:misc_RNA from 1 species